rnacentral:rRNA from 1 species
AAGCCCCGGCUAACUUCGUGCCAGCAGCCGCGGUAAUACAGAGGGUGCAAGCAUUGUCCGGAAUGAUUGGGCGUAAAGCGUCUGUAGGUGGUUUUUAAAGUCUAAUGUCAAAUCCCAGAGCUCAACUUUGGACAGGCAUUAGAGUACUUAAAGGCUAGAGCAUGGUAGGGGUAGAGGGAAUUCCUUGUGGAGCGGUGAAAUGCACAGAGAUAAGGAAGAACACCAGUGGCGAAGGCGCUCUACUGGGCCAUUACUGACACUGAGAGACGAUAGCUGGGGGAGCGAAUAGGAUUAGAUACCCUGGUAGUCCACGCCGUAAACGAUGUCGACUAGCCGUUGGGCUCCUUGAGAGCUUUGUGGCGCAGUUAACGCGAUAAGUCGACCGCCUGGGGAGUACGGCCGCAAGGUUAAAACUCAAAUGAAUUGACGGGGGCCCGCACAAGCGGUGGAGCAUGUGGUUUAAUUCGAAGCAACGCGCAGAACCUUACC